rnacentral:rRNA from 1 species
GAUGAACGCUGGCGGCGUGCCUAAUACAUGCAAGUCGAGCGAACAGACGAGGAGCUUGCUCCUCUGACGUUAGCGGCGGACGGGCGAGUAACACGUGGGUAACCUACCUAUAAGACUGGGAUAACUUCGGGAAACCGGAGCUAAUACCGGAUAAUAUAUUGAACCGCAUGGUUCAAUAGUGAAAGACGGUUUUGCUGUCACUUAUAGAUGGAUCCGCGCCGCAUUAGCUAGUUGGUAAGGUAACGGCUUACCAAGGCAACGAUGCGUAGCCGACCUGAGAGGGUGAUCGGCCACACUGGAACUGAGACACGGUCCAGACUCCUACGGGAGGCAGCAGUAGGGAAUCUUCCGCAAUGGGCGAAAGCCUGACGGAGCAACGCCGCGUGAGUGAUGAAGGUCUUCGGAUCGUAAAACUCUGUUAUUAGGGAAGAACAAAUGUGUAAGUAACUAUGCACGUCUUGACGGUACCUAAUCAGAAAGCCACGGCUAACUACGUGCCAGCAGCCGCAGUAA